rnacentral:tmRNA from 1 species
GAUAAGGCUGUGCAGCGUCGCGAUGCACGGUUCGAAAAUCCAGCGAAUCGCCUUCAACCAGCCUGUCCGUCGGCGUGUUGCGGGUUAAAUCAAAUGACGUGGCUAAGUAUGUAGAACUGUAUGUGGCGCACUUGUGGACGCGGGUUCAAUUCCCGCCGCCUCCACCA